GAAAUUAUAAUAUUAUUAAUAAUUCAUCCCUCAAUUAUAUAUAUUAAUCAUAUUUCACUCUUGAAUAUUCUCACCCUCUCUAAUUCUCUAGCUAGUUUCUGAUCUCUUCUUCUCAAAUUUUUUGCUUUUUUUGUGUAAUUUUAAGUACAUGAUGGAUCAAAGAGAAGGCGAUGAUGACCAUGGAAUUACUUGCAGAAUUGACUGGAAGAUUUCAAGGCCAAAUUUUCAAGAAUGGUUUUGCAUUUGAGCCAUGGCCUAAAUAAUUGGAGCAAAUGAAAAUGAUGAUGAUCUUGACUUCGGGGAAAUUAUUAACCUCUAGGCAAGUCUACUGCUUGGCUUAUCCUCCUUUUUUGUGGUUUUCUUUUUUGUUUUUAUCAUGUUUGGUUGCUGAGAAAAUGGAGGAUAUUGUAUGAAUAAGAUUUGGAAUCUUGGUUUCAUGUUAGAUUCCAAGGCUUCUCUUCUUCGAUCACUAGCUGUGUCUUUAGCAACCAAACAGGUUUUAGUUUCUCUCUCUUUUAACUUUGAGUUCUUGUCUGCUCCAACACUGUAAGAGAAAUUAAACUUUGUGAAUUGUAAAAGACAUAGUUUUUCUUUCUGGUUCAUCAUUUAAAUUCAACGAACAAUAAUAUAUAUAGCAGAAUUGCCAAACUUGUUUAGAUUAUAUAUCAUCCAAUCACUACUUUUUUCUGAAAGGCUUGAGUUGGUUUUAGUUUGAAAAUCCUGCGAAGUUUUAAGGAUGUUUUAUUCGGUG
rnacentral:lncRNA from 1 species